GCAGGGCUGGGCGAGCG
rnacentral:miRNA from 1 species